rnacentral:rRNA from 1 species
GACGAACGCUGGCGGCGUGCUUAACACAUGCAAGUCGAACGGAAAGGCCCUGCUUUUGUGGGGUGCUCGAGUGGCGAACGGGUGAGUAACACGUGAGUAACCUGCCCUUGACUUUGGGAUACCUUCAGGAAACUGGGGCUAAUACCGGAUAGGAGCUCCUGCUGCAUGGUGGGGGUUGGAAAGUUUCGGCGGUUGGGGAUGGACUCGCGGCGUAUCAGCUUGUUGGUGGGGUAGUGGCUUACCAAGGCUGUGACGGGUAGCCGGCCUGAGAGGGUGACCGGCCACAUUGGGACUGAGAUACGGCCCAGACUCCUACGGGAGGCAGCAGUGGGGAAUAUUGCACAAUGGGCGGAAGCCUGAUGCAGCGACGCCGCGUGCGGGAUGACGGCCUUCGGGUUGUAAACCGCUUUCGCCUGUGACGAAGCGUGAGUGACGGUAAUGGGUAAAGAAGCACCGGCUAACUACGUG